GGGGGGCCUCUCCCUGGCUCCAGCAGCAUCUCUGCCCGGCGCCCGCAGGCCUGUGUCAGGGGUUACCUGCUGCGGAAGCGCUUCAGGAGCCUGCGGGCAGAGUAUGAGGAGGUGGUGCGGGAGAUCGAAGGAGACCUGAGCCAGCUGGAGUGGAGGGGACGGUUCCUGCCGCGGCCCGUGUUUGUCCCCGAGGCGAAGCUCAGCCUUAGGUCAAACACCCGACCUGUGCGGGUGACUCCUGCGGGUCUUGUCCCUGGGCACCCACCUCACCCGGUUGUGCUGAACGGCCAGACCCGCUCCUGCGGUGGCUGAGAGCCGCACUCUAAUGUUUUUACCACUUUUGGAAGGAAAGCCCUUGAAAAAGUUCAACCCAGAGCAUAUUGGUGUCGUGGCAGGAGCGCUGCUAACGCCAGGUCUCCGGCUGGGACAGAGUCUCUGUCUCGCAGCAGAGCCACUUUUCAGAUCUUUAUAUUUUCUUUUCCUUAUAUUUCAAUCUCUUCGUGUGUUGCCCCUUUGGAAGCCAAGACAAGGGAAGUGUUCGGGUCCACAGGAGGCUGUACCGAGUGACGAGCUCAGCGCAGAAAAGCUGCAAGAGAAGCUGGACGCCUCUGAACCAGAACAGGACUGGGGCUGCAGCAGUGUGAAACGUACAGUUCGGCUGCAAAGCGAGAAAGAACUGAGCUCCCCAGGUGAAGGCGAUGUAGUGAGCCCCCCAGAUCUCGGGGGUGAUGCCAAGAAACACACGGAAAAGGAGUGCAGUGCCCCAGCGGAGAGCGAGGACUGGCAGAAGGACAGCAGCGUAUCCUCUGUGUGGGACAGCGCUGGCCUGGAGGCAGAGUCCCUUGAAGCCUGCCUGGAAAUUCCACUUGAGGACAUAAAGGAGCUUCCUCGAACUCGGUCCGGUCUCCAGGCCUACAGAAAUCACUUGAUCAUGGAGUUGCUGUGGUUGCAACAAGCCAUCGUCAGCCGUAAAAACUAUUUGAUGCUGAAACAGAGGCUGGGGAAUCCGGACCUGUAGGAGGGAAUUCCCGGGCACGUGGGGCACUUGUUCUGGUGUGGAGAACCGUGGAGCUGCAGCACCGUCGUUGUGACAUGACCUCACAGACAGCAGCAGCUUAGGGGAAGUCCAGCUCUGUGGGUUGAUGUUUUCCACUUCAGAUGAAUGUGGCAAGAAAGCCUUUUAUUUCUUUUAAACGUGAAUAUUUGGUCAAAGCAGGGAUUAAACAUCGCUGUGAAGCCUGGGAGGUUGUUGUGUGUCCCCGGAGGGAGUCCCGGUGAGGCCUCUGUCCGCAAGAACUUCUUUCUGUUGGCUGAGCUGGAUGGUCCUAGGGGAGACUGGAGGCUGGGAAGACUGUCACUUACAGAAGGUGCUUUCUGACCAGCUGAUCACUUGUGGUGGAACUAAAACGCCUGAAGGCAGCAGGUGCUUUGAACCUGCAGGAACAAGCUCUUCUCCACUGAACUGUGCGUGGCCCCUGUUGGUAUCUGAGCUGUGUACUCGGGAUGGCUCUGCACCUCACAGCUCUGCAACAUCUAGGCUUUGGGGAGCACCUAGUGGAAGUACUAAGUUAGGAGACAUUCCUAACUUUCCUGUGCAGUUAGGGAGUGAUGGCACGUCAAACCUGACCUUCAGGAGAUGAGGCUCGGUUCCCAACUUGCAUGUGGCUGUGGUCAAAUUUCUCUGUGUGGCAGAGUCACCUGGACUGGUGCUUGAGGGAGCAAGGACAGGCUUGCGGGGUUUGGCACUUUGUCUAUAUGUGGCUUCAGGGGCACUUGAGGUCCCUCAGAAAGGGACUUCCCAUGCAGUGCUGUGGUUCCCUGCUGUGACCCCGAAUCUUCUGUGCAAACGCUGACUGAAGGGUCACUCUUGCCAUGUGGCAGAUGUAUCUUUCUGUUCCUGAUGAUGCUGACUUGCUUGUGAAUAAAAAGCUUUUCU
rnacentral:lncRNA from 1 species